AAUCAACGCUGGCGGCGUGCCUCAGACAUGCAAGUCGAACGAUUAAACUUUCCUUCGGGGAAGAUAUAAAGUGGCGCACGGGUGAGUAACACGUAAGUAAUCUACCUUCGAGUGGGGAAUAACAUCGGGAAACCGAUGCUAAUACCGCAUAACGCAGCGGCAUCUUAUGGUGACAGUUGUUAAAGGAGCAAUUCGCUUGAAGAGGAGCUUGCGGCAGAUUAGCUAGUUGGUAAGGUAAUGGCUUACCAAGGCUUCGAUCUGUAUCCGGUCUAAGAGGACGGUCGGACACACUGACACUGAAUAACGGGUCAGACUCCUACGGGAGGCAGCAGCCGGGAAUUUUGGGCAAUGGGCGAAAGCCUGACCCAGCAACGCCGCGUGAAGGAUGAAGUAUUUCGGUAUGUAAACUUCGAAAGAAUGGGAAGAACUCAAUGACGGUACCAUUUAUAAGCUCCGGCUAACUACGUGCCAGCAGCCGCGGUAAUACGUAGGGAGCAAGCGUUUGUUCGG
rnacentral:rRNA from 1 species